CAGUUUGCUUGCAAACUGGAGAUGGCGACCGGCGCACGGGUGAGUAACACGUAUCCAACCUGCCGAUAACUCGGGGAUAGCCUUUCGAAAGAAAGAUUAAUACCCGAUGGCAUAAUUAGACCGCAUGGUCUUAUUAUUAAAGAAUUUCGGUUAUCGAUGGGGAUGCGUUCCAUUAGGCAGUUGGUGAGGUAACGGCUCACCAAACCUUCGAUGGAUAGGGGUUCUGAGAGGAAGGUCCCCCACAUUGGAACUGAGACACGGUCCAAACUCCUACGGGAGGCAGCAGUGAGGAAUAUUGGUCAAUGGACGAGAGUCUGAACCAGCCAAGUAGCGUGAAGGAUGACUGCCCUAUGGGUUGUAAACUUCUUUUAUAUGGGAAUAAAGUUUUCCACGUGUGGAAUUUUGUAUGUACCAUAUGAAUAAGGAUCGGCUAACUCCGUGCCAGCAGCCGCGGUAAUACGGAGGAUCCGAGCGUUAUCCGGAUUUAUUGGGUUUAAAGGGAGCGUAGGUGGACAGUUAAGUCAGUUGUGAAAGUUUGCGGCUCAACCGUAAAAUUGCAGUUGAUACUGGCUGUCUUGAGUACAGUAGAGGUGGGCGGAAUUCGUGGUGUAGCGGUGAAAUGCUUAGAUAUCACGAAGAACUCCGAUUGCGAAGGCAGCUCAC
rnacentral:rRNA from 1 species